CCUACGGGAGGCAGCAGUGGGGAAUAUUGGGCAAUGGGCGCAAGCCUGACCCAGCAACGCCGCGUGAAGGAAGAAGGCUUUCGGGUUGUAAACUUCUUUUCUCAGGGACGAAGAAAGUGACGGUACCUGAGGAAUAAGCCACGGCUAACUACGUGCCAGCAGCCGCGGUAAUACGUAGGGGGCAAGCGUUAUCCGGAUUUACUGGGUGUAAAGGGUGCGUAGGCGGGGAAGCAAGUCAGAUGUGAAACCCACGGGCUCAACCUGGGGACUGCAUUUGAAACUGUUUUUCUUGAGUGCUGGAGAGGCAGACGGAAUUCCUAGUGGAGCGGUGAAAUGCGUAGAUAUUAGGAGGAACACCAGUGGCGAAGGCGGGCUGCUGGACAGCAACUGACGCUGAGGCGCGAAAGCGUGGGGAGCAAACAGGAUUAGAUACCCCGGUAGUC
rnacentral:rRNA from 1 species